CAUACACAAGGAUCCCCCAGGACUGAGAACCCCUGAGUCACAGUACAGGAAGUAACUCGCCUAAUUCAGUCACAGUACAGGAGGUAAAUUGCCUAAUUCAGUCACAGUACAGGAAGUAACUUGCCGAAUUCAGUCACAGUAUAGGAAGUAACUUGCCUAAUUCAGUCACAGUACAGGAGGUAACUUGCCUAAUUCAGUCACAGUACAGGAAGUAACUCACCUAAUUCAGUACUAAAGUUCAGCACCUACACUCAGUACCAGCACAGAAGGGAGAGAUCUCCUCAGCCCAGAAAGUACCUGCAGGGUCUGAACCUGAACGUCGCCGUGCAUGCAACACUGCAGCCCUGGAGCAACCCCCACUUUCCUGCCUCUUUUCUCUUUCACGCGAGGUGGAGACGGAGAGAUUCCCGAAUCCCGACGCCUUUGUUCCCCCUCGUCGGCACGCAGGGACGUGAGCGUGUUUGGGUAGAUAUCCGUUCCCAUCCGGGCUCAGCGAGCUGCUCGGUCUCUGCUGUGAUUACAGGCGUAAUGGAUUGUUUGUGUCCAUACUAAUCAAAUGCCCUUCCUGGCCUAAAUGGAUCGAUCAUGUCUCUCAAAGCUGGAUCAUACGCAGGGAUAAAUACCUCAGUCAGAUUUUAUAUUACUGUCCGGGUGGUGCCAUGUUACUUUAUCAAUUUACAAUGUCCGCAUGGAGAAGACUCUCAUAUACUGAUACAGCAUUGAGUACAGUGCAUAUAAUACUCCUAUCUUUUGUUUGCACGGUUCAAAGGCACUCAUUGUGGCUAUUGAUUAAAAAUGCAGUCAGAUUCAUAUUUUCAAAUAUUGCAAAAGCUGAUUCCAGUACUCGUACCUGCUGGUGUGAAUUAAAGCAAUCAUGGAGGGCUGAA